rnacentral:rRNA from 1 species
UACGGAGGGUGCGAGUGUUGUCCGGAAUCAGCUAGGGCGUAAGGCGCGUAGGCGGCGCGGAUAGUCGGCGGUGAAAGCCCGGAGCUCAACUCCGGGUCGGCCGUCGAUACUUCCGGGCUUGAGCACUGUAGAGGCAGAUGGAAUUCCGGGUGUAGCGGAUGGAAUGCGUAGAGAUCCGGAAGAACACCGGUGGCGAAGGCGGUCUGCUGGGCAGUUGGCUGACGC